rnacentral:lncRNA from 1 species
UAAAUUUAUUUUUGAUUAUAUUUUCACCAUAUACUUAUGUUACAAUAUGACAAUGGAAGAAUGCGUAGUUAAAAAUUGUAACAAAUAACCUCCACAUUCAUAUCAAACAUCCACCUCAUUCCAAAAAUUGCUUAACAAUAUAUUUUUUUUUAUCUGUACUCAAAUGUAAUAUCAAAAAUAAGUAACCAUCCAACACAUUCAACCAAUUUUCAACACCAUUGAACUAGAAAUAAUACAUCAUAGAAUAACUUCUGCAUUAGAUCAUGUUUCAUUGCCAUUUU